rnacentral:piRNA from 1 species
UACAAUGUAAGGUUUCCAGAACA